rnacentral:rRNA from 1 species
CCAGACUCCUACGGGAGGCAGCAGUGAGGAAUAUUGGUCAAUGGGCGCGAGCCUGAACCAGCCAAGUCGCGUGAGGGAUGACGGCCCUACGGGUUGUAAACCUCUUUUGUCGGGGAGCAAAUUCCGCCACGUGUGGCGGAGUCGAGAGUACCCGAAGAAAAAGCAUCGGCUAACUCCGUGCCAGCAGCCGCGGUAAUACGGAGGAUGCGAGCGUUAUCCGGAUUUAUUGGGUUUAAAGGGUGCGUAGGCGGGAUGCCAAGUCAGCGGUCAAAUACGGGGGCUCACCCUGCGUCCGCCGUUGAAACUGGCGUUCUUGAGUGGGCGAGAAGUACGCGGAAUGCGUGGUGUAGCGGUGAAAUGCAUAGAUAUCACGCAGAACCCCGAUUGCGAAGGCAGCGUACCGGCGCCCGACUGACGCUGAAGCACGAAAGCGUGGGUAUCGAACAGGAUUAGAUACCCCUGUAGG